rnacentral:misc_RNA from 1 species
UUAACCCUUAAGCAGGCCACGGACGUAUGCGUCCCACAUAGAUUUUUCGAUGCUGUAGCCAGGUUUUGGUAAUGAAGAGCCCACAAUCUGUCAAAAUUUAAUCGUAAAUACAUACUCUAUGGUUUCGAAUUUGCAAACUCUGUGUAUCCGAACGAAUGUGACACUGACAGUCAUUCGAGUUUCGUCGGUCCGUUAAAGAGGUGUUUUUGAGUGACUGUGGUAGUUUUAUUCAGAUUAUGGCGAAACAAAGAAAGCGACUGCAACCGCUUAGAGAUAAACAAAUAGAAGAUAUUCUGGAAGAUCGGGACUCAUCAUCAGAAGAAGAUGAAGAACUUGCAGCUUUCAUAUGCUUGCAGAUCUCGAUCUUAGCCCAGAUCUCAUUCUGGGGAUUAAAACUAUUUCAUAAUAAAUAACAUUAAUAAUAAAUAAGUGAUUCAUAAUAAAAAUAAUUUGUUUUACUUACCACAAAAUAGCCUCUACCUGAAUUUAAAAAAAUAAAUAUAAUUGUUUUUAAAACAAA